rnacentral:rRNA from 1 species
CCUACGGGUGGCAGCAGUGGGGAAUAUUGCACAAUGGGCGCAAGCCUGAUGCAGCCAUGCCGCGUGUAUGAAGAAGGCCUUCGGGUUGUAAAGUACUUUCAGCGGGGAGGAAGGGAGUAAAGUUAAUACCUUUGCUCAUUGACGUUACCCGCAGAAGAAGCACCGGCUAACUCCGUGCCAGCAGCCGCGGUAAUACGUAUGUCGCAAGCGUUAUCCGGAUUUAUUGGGCGUAAAGCGUGCGCAGGCGGUUGGGUAAGACAGAUGUGAAAUCCCCGGGCUCAACCUGGGAACUGCAUCUGAUACUGGCAAGCUUGAGUCUCGUAGAGGGGGGUAGAAUUCCAGGUGUAGCGGUGAAAUGCGUAGAGAUCUGGAGGAAUACCGGUGGCGAAGGCGGCCCCCUGGACGAAGACUGACGCUCAGGUGC